GCCCGGAUAGCUCAGUUGGUAGAGCAGGGGAUUGAAAAUCCCCGUGUCGGCAGUUCGAUUCUGUCUCCGGGCACCA
rnacentral:tRNA from 11 species